GAUGAACGCUGGCGGCGUGCCUAAUACAUGCAAGUCGAGCGAACAGACGAGGAGCUUGCCCCUCUGAUGUUAGCGGCGGACGGGUGAGUAACACGUGGAUAACCUACCUAUAAGACUGGGAUAACUUCGGGAAACCGGAGCUAAUACCGGAUAACAUGUUGAACCGCAUGGUUCAACAGUGAAAGACGGUCUUGCUGUCACUUAUAGAUGGAUCCGCGCCGUAUUAGCUAGUUGGUAAGGUAACGGCUUACCAAGGCAACGAUGCGUAGCCGACCUGAGAGGGUGAUCGGCCACACUGGAACUGAGACACGGUCCAGACUCCUACGGGAGGCAGCAGUAGGGAAUCUUCCGCAAUGGGCGAAAGCCUGACGGAGCAACGCCGCGUGAGUGAAGAAGGUCUUCGGAUCGUAAAACUCUGUUAUUAGGGAAGAACAAAUGUGUAAGUAACUAUGCACGUCUUGACGGUACCUAAUCAGAAAGCCACGGCUAACUACGUG
rnacentral:rRNA from 1 species